GACGAACGCUGGCGGCGUGCCUAAUACAUGCAAGUCGAGCGGACUUUCAAGAAGCUUGCUGUUUGAAAGUUAGCGGCGGACGGGUGAGUAACACGUGGGCAACCUGCCUGCAAGACGGGGAUAACUACGGGAAACCGGGGCUAAUACCGGAUAAUAUCUUCCUUCGCAUGAAGGAAGGUUGAAAGGCGGCGCAAGCUGCCGCUUGCAGAUGGGCUCGCGGCGCUUUGGCUAGUGGGUGAGGUAAAGGCUCUCCAAGGCGAGGAUGCGUAGCCGGCAGGCGAGGGUGGGCGGCCGCACUGAGACGGAGACACGGCACAGACGCAUACGGAAGGCAGCAGGAGGGCAGCUUGCGCAAUGGACGAGAGUCUGACGGAGAAAGGCGGCGGGAGGGAGGAAGGACGUCGGAUCGUAAAGCUCGGUUGUCAGGGAAGAACAAGUACCGUUCGAAGAGGGCGGUACCUUGACGGUACUUGGUAAGAAAGCCACGGCUAACUACGUG
rnacentral:rRNA from 1 species